AUGGAAAGUCGCUAAAAUGUGGGAUUCCUGAACAAUACUUCCAACAGCACACACUGUGACUCUGCACACAAGUCGUGCUUCGCAAUGUCACUUUCAGAGUGCACUUGUGCUUCUGAUGCCGUUUAUGUACAGGGCUGAACUUUAUAUUCGACCUCUCAUAACAUCUGCCGGCUAGAUUUUAUUCCGAGCUUGCAAUUAUCAUAUCGACGGGGUGUCAUUUAAAUCUAAAAUAUUAAUGCAAUCAAUGUAACGUGAGAAUUGGAAAAUGAUGCUUCUCAAUCCAUGCGGUCUGCUUAGCGUUUGUGAAAUCUCCUGAGUGUAGGAAUAGUGCCAACAACACCAUGAGAGACCCCCCCCAAUCAACUCUAAUCUUUUACAGCCAAGCUACUGUGAAAUGAUCUAUUCCGAAUGUAAAUGUUUAUCACCUGAAAUAUAAAAUAAAUGAUUUGAAUGAAA